GGGCCGGCUGUAGUAGAUGCUCUAAACGCUUAAAACCAUGCCGCUCCCGUGCUGUUCCUAACCCACGCCUCCACGCCACAUCCAUGGCCACCCUCAUCCCUCGUGCUCCACCACCAAAUCCCCACCGUCACUUCCUUCUCCACCGACCACCGACCCUAUCCCCCCAGCUCCGCCUGCGCCUCCCUGUUCGCCGCCUCCGCCUCGCUUCCCCGGUCGCGGCCAUUGCCACGGUGACGGCCGCCGUGCCCCCCGACGACAUCUCGCAGCUCAAUAACCGUCUCCGCGCGCUCGUCCGCCGCCGCGGUGUCUCUUCCGCUGCCACAUCUCCCAUGGACCCCGCCCAGGCGGACGCCUACCUCCACAUGAUCCGCGAGCAGCAGCGCCUCGGCCUCCGCCAGCUCCGCCGGCACUCGGCCGAACCGGAAUACGAGAGAGACGUCGGAAGCAACGGGGAGGACGAGGAGGAGGGCGCCGGAAGGAGGAAGGGGAUGGCGGCCAGGAGCUCUUUGGGGCACCGUGUGGACCCGCGUGAGCUGGAGCCCGGCGAGUACGUCGUUCACAAGAAAGUCGGCGUCGGCAAGUUCGUCUGUAUAAGCGGAGAGGACGGAGAGGACUACGUGUUCAUUCAGUAUGCGGACGCCAUGGCGAAGCUUGCAGUCGACCAGGCAGCACGCAUGCUCUACCGAUACAACCUUCCUCAUGAGAAAAAGAGGCCAAGGAAUCUAAGCAAGCUGAAUGAUCCUUCUACAUGGGAGAAGAGGAGGCUGAAAGGAAAGCUUGCUGUUCAGAAGAUGGUGGUCAACUUGAUGGAGUUAUAUUUACAAAGGAUGAGGCAGAGAAGGCCGCCGUACCGAAAGCCUGAGGCGAUGGAUCAGUUUGCUUCUGAAUUUCCUUACGAGCCUACCCCAGACCAAAACCAGGCUUUCAUAGAUAUUGAGAAUGAUCUGACUGAAAGGGAAACACCAAUGGACAGAUUGAUCUGUGGAGAUGUCGGGUUUGGUAAAACGGAAGUUGCAAUGCGUGCUAUAUUCAUCGUUGUAUCUACAGGAUAUCAAGCUAUGGUUCUCGCACCAACUGUAAUACUAGCCAAUCAACACUAUGAUGUAAUGUCUGAGCGUUUCUCCAACUACCCUGACAUAAAGGUCGCCAUAUUCAGCGGUGCUCAGAGCAAGGAUGAAAAGGAUGAGCUAAUAACAAAAAUUACGAAUGGGCAUUUGCAAAUAAUUGUUGGAACUCAUGCUCUUCUUACAGAACGGAUGGCCUAUAACAAUCUCGGUCUCCUAGUGGUGGAUGAGGAACAGAAGUUCGGUGUACAACAAAAGGAGAAGAUUGCAUCAUUCAAAGCUUCUAUUGAUGUUCUUACCCUGUCCGCAACACCCAUUCCACGAACUCUGUAUCUUGCUUUAACCGGUUUCCGUGAUGCAAGUUUAAUGUCUACACCACCUCCGGAAAGAGUCGCUGUCAAGACCUAUGUGUCAGCAUUUAGUAGAGAAAGUGCUCUAUCAGCUAUCAAAUUGGAGUUGAAGCGUGGCGGUCAAGUUUUCUAUGUUGUUCCUCGAAUAAAAGCCAUAGACGAUGUAUUGCAAUUUCUCAAGGACUCUCUUCCAGAUGUACCGAUGGCUAUUGCUCAUGGAAAGAAAGUGUCAAAGAAUAUACAACUUGCUAUGGAAAAGUUUUCUUGUGGGGAAAUAAAGAUUCUUGUAUGCACACAUAUCAUUGAAAGUGGAAUAGAUAUUCCAAAUGCCAACACAAUGAUAGUCCAGUAUGCAGAACUAUUUGGGCUCGCACAGCUGUAUCAGUUGCGAGGAAGAGUAGGAAGAUCAGGUAGAGAGGGUUUCACAUACCUCUUCUACACUGACAAGUCUUUGCUUUCCAGAAUUGCCAUGGAUAGACUUGGAGCUAUUGAAGAGCAUUCUGAUCUCGGUCAAGGUUUCCAUGUCGCAGAGAAGGAUAUGGGUAUUAGGGGAUUUGGAAGCAUGUUUGGUGAGCAACAAUCUGGAGACGUUGCAAAUGUUGGCAUCGAUCUGUUCUUUGAUAUGCUUUUUGACAGCUUGUCCAAGGUUGAUCACUUUCGUCUUAAACCCAUUCCUUACAAAGAUGUUCAGCUGGACAUUAACAUUUCUCCGCAUCUCUCUUCUGAAUACAUAAGUUAUCUUGAAAAUCCUGUUGAAUUGCUCAAUGAAGCAGCGAAAGCUGCAGAACAAGAUAUAUGGAACUUAAUGCAAUUCACAGAAGAUCUUCGUCGACAGUAUGGGAAGGAGCCCCGUGAUAUGGAGUUGCUAUUAAAAAAGCUCUAUGUAAGGCGGAUGGCAGCAGAUCUUGGUAUCAGCCGGAUAUAUCCAUCUGGCAAAAUGAUCAUCAUGAAAACAAACAUGAACAGGAAAGUUUUUAGGCUCAUGGAAGAAACCAUGGCUUCUGAGACGCAUCGCAAUUCUUUGUCAUUCACUGGAAAGGAAAUUAAGGCUGAACUUCUGGUCAAUCUGCCAGACACACUACUUCUGAACUGGCUUUUUCAUUGCUUAGCGGAUUGCUAUGCAAUAAUGCCAGCCCUUGUGAGAUACUAGAUUCUUUGAUUGAAAUGAAGGUUAUGACAAGCACUAUAACCUGGAAUGAACUAUUCAUGUUCGAGAAAAUGAAAAGGCAAGACACAGAUAUUCAAUUAAUCGGUCAAUUUUCAGUUAAUUGGCCAUGGGACGGUCUCUUCUUUUGUUGGUGUUGUCACUUCAGGCAAUUAAUCAGCCAUUGGUGUGUUGGUAUUGUCACUUCAGGCAAAUGUGUACCAAUAAUAUGCAACAUUGUUAAGAAAAUCUGUGAAAGUGUAGUGUGACAGAUUAUACCUAUACGUUAACUGGAUGCCCAAAUGGAAAGGCGUGAACUGCAUUUCUGCAUCCACUGACAGUUUUGUUUAGCUAGCAGUGGCUGGUGUGAUGCACAAUUGAUAUCCUGAAAUGCUGUUCGUCAAUGGCGUUAAAGAAUUCUGGUUCAGAUUCUUAUUGCAGGGAAGAUCUCCAAGAUUCUUCUGAGGCUUUCUGAUGGAGAAAAUCCAGCAUUGUGACUAACAGGUGCAUAGGGUUCAUGACUGGUAACGUAUAGUUUUGUAAUCGGAGUGCGCUGUAUUAGGUGGGGAGAUUGAGUGAUUGAUUAGUAAUCAGAAUGCGCUGUAUUAGGCGGGGAGAUUGAGUGAUUGAUUACUUUCCCUUUGAUUCAGCGAAGGGUUGGUUUCUCUUUUUUUUAGGGGAACUAAAACUUUAUUGAUUAACUCAUUCCAGAGGUAUGAUUACAGUGUCAUGCGGCUCAAGUAGCCACACAUGUCUACCUAUGUCUAGGUACAAAGAGUAUUUUCACUAGACUAUCAGC
rnacentral:rRNA from 1 species